rnacentral:rRNA from 1 species
GACGAACGCUGGCGGCGUGCUUAACACAUGCAAGUCUAUUGGAAGCUUGCUUCCGAUGGCGGACGGGUGAGUAACACGUAAAGAAUCUGCCCUUUAGUCUGGGAUAACAACUGGAAACAGUUGCUAAUACCGGAUAUUAUAAUCUGAUGGCAUCAUCUUUUUAUGAAAACUAUAUGUGCUAAAGGUGGACUUUGCGGCCCAUUAGCUAGUUGGUGAGGUAACGGCUCACCAAGGCUUCGAUGGGUAGCCGGCCUGAGAGGGUGUACGGCCACAAGGGGACUGAGACACGGCCCUUACUCCUACGGAGGCAGCAGUGGGAAUAUUGGACAAUGGGAGAAAUCCUGAUCCAGCAAUUCUGUGUGCAUGAUGACGGUCUUCGGAUUGUAAAGUGCUUUUCGACAGGGAAGAAUAAAUUGACGGUACCUGUAUAAGAAGCGACGGCUAAAUACGUGCCAGCAGCCGCGGUAAGCUGUAGUCGU